GUGGGGAAUAUUGGACAAUGGGCGAAAGCCUGAUCCAGCCAUGCCGCGUGUGUGAAGAAGGUCUUCGGAUUGUAAAGCACUUUAAGUUGGGAGGAAGGGCAGUAAGUUAAUACCUUGCUGUUUUGACGUUACCGACAGAAUAAGCACCGGCUAACUUCGUGCCAGCAGCCGCGGUAAUACGAAGGGUGCAAGCGUUAAUCGGAAUUACUGGGCGUAAAGCGCGCGUAGGUGGUUUUGUAAUUUGGAGGUGAAAUCCCCGGGCUCAACCUGGGAACUGCCUUCAAAACUGCAUGACUAGAGUACGGUAGGGGGUAGUGGAAUUUACUGUGUAGCGGUGAAAUGCGUAGAUAUAGGAAGGAACACCAGUGGCGAAGGCGACUACCUGGACUGAUACUGACACUGAGGUGCGAAAGCGUGGGGAGCAAACAGGAUUAGAUACCCUUGUAGUCC
rnacentral:rRNA from 1 species